UACGUAGGGGGGCAAGCGUUGUCCGGAUUUAUUGGGCGUAAAGAGCGUGUAGGCGGCUGGGUAGGUCCGUUUGUGAAAACUCGAGGCUCAACCUCCGAGACGCCGAUGGAAAACCCCCCCAGCUAGAGUCCGGAAGAGGAGAGUGGAAUUCCUGGUGUAGCGGUGAAAUGCGCAGAUAUCAGGGAGGAACACCGGUGGCGAAGGCGGGUCUCGUGGGCCCGUAACUGGACGCUGAGGAGCGAAAGCGUGGGGAGCGAACAGG
rnacentral:rRNA from 1 species